rnacentral:rRNA from 1 species
UACAGAGGGGGCAAGCGUUGUUCGGAAUUACUGGGCGUAAAGGGCGCGUAGGCGGCCAACUAAGUCGGACGUGAAAUCCCCGGGCUCAACCCGGGAACUGCGUCCGAUACUGGAUGGCUUGAAUCCGGGAGAGGGAUGUGGAAUUCCAGGUGUAGCGGUGAAAUGCGUAGAUAUCUGGAGGAACACCGGUGGCGAAGGCGGCAUCCUGGACCGGUAUUGACGCUGAGGAGCGAAAGCGUGGGGAGCAAACAGG